rnacentral:rRNA from 1 species
CCUACGGGCGGCAGCAGUGAGGAAUAUUGGUCAAUGGACGAGAGUCUGAACCAGCCAAGUAGCGUGAAGGAUGACUGCCCUAUGGGUUGUAAACUUCUUUUAUAAAGGAAUAAAACGAGGCACGUGUGCCUUUUUGCAUGUACUUUAUGAAUAAGGAUCGGCUAACUCCGUGCCAGCAGCCGCGGUAAUACGGAGGAUCCGAGCGUUAUCCGGAUUUAUUGGGUUUAAAGGGAGCGUAGAUGGGUUGUUAAGUCAGUUGUGAAAGUUUGCGGCUCAACCGUAAAAUUGCAAUUGAUACUGGCAGUCUUGAGUACAGUUGAGGUAGGCGGAAUUCGUGGUGUAGCGGUGAAAGGCUUAGAUAUCACGAAGAACCCCGAUUGCGAAGGCAGCUUACUAAACUGUGACUGACAUUGAUGCUCGAAAGUGUGGGUAUCAAACAGGAUUAGAUACCCUAGUAGUC